ACAAGGGGCCGGUGGAGGAAAGAGUCCAGGCAGAGGAUGUGCCUCUCAUAGUACCCCAUGCCAGAGCAAGCUGGCCCCGAACCACUGCCCAGCUUCUGCCUGGGGGCUGCUGGCACUGAAGUGGGUUGCACAGUG
rfam:Tupaia chinensis contig48222, whole genome shotgun sequence.